rnacentral:rRNA from 1 species
CGAGAAAGCCCGCAAGGGUGAGUAAAGCGGCGCACGGGUGCGUAACACGUGGGUAAUCUGCCCUGAAGUCCGGAAUAACUCGCCGAAAGGCGUGCUAAUGCCGGAUGAGACCACGGGAGCCUCGGCUCCUGCGGGAAAAGGUGGCCUCUGUAUACAAGCUAUCGCUUCAGGAUGAGCCCGCGGCCCAUCAGCUCGUUGGCGGGGUAAUGGCCCACCAAGGCUACGACAGGUAGCUGGUCUGAGAGGACGAUCAGCCACACUGGAACUGAGACACGGUCCAGACUCCUACGGGAGGCAGCAGUGGGGAAUCUUGCGCAAUGGGCGAAAGCCUGACGCAGCAACGCCGCGUGUGUGAUGAAGGUCUUCGGAUCGUAAAGCACUGUCGCGAGGGACG